AUUAAAACGCGCCAUAUAAACGCCACAGAUUGACGUUUGUACGUCGUCGCAGUGCCUGCAGCUGUCAUUAUUUUCCCUUAUCGAACUUUUAAAACUGAAAAGUACACUUUGCCCGAUAUUCCAAAUUUCCCGAACACAUAUACUCAUAUAUACUCGUAUACUUUUACUGUCUCAGUAUAACAAAUAAAUUGCGGCGUUUUGGGUUAAAAUUAAAAUAACAAAAAUGUUA